UGUACUCACCUGCUCUGUCUAGGACUCUAGGUCUACCUGCACUCACCUCCUCUGUCUAGGACUCUAGGUCUACCUGCACUCACCUCCUCUGUCUAGGACUCUAGGUCUACCUGCACUCACCUCCUCUGUCUAGGACUCUAGGUCUACCUGUACUCACCUCCUCUGUCUAGGACUCUAGGUCUACCUGUACUCACCUGCUCUGUCUAGGACUCUAGGUCUACCUGUACUCACCUGCUCUGUCUAGGACUCUAGGUCUACCUGUACUCACCUCCUCUGUCUAGGACUCUAGGUCUACCUGUACUCACCUGCUCUGUCUAGGACUCUAGGUCUACCUGCACUCACCUCCUCUGUCUAGGACUCUAGGUCUACCUGCACUCACCUCCUCUGUCUAGGACUCUAGGUCUACCUGCACUCACCUGCUCUGUCUAGGACUCUAGGUCUACCUGUACUCACCUGCUCUGUCUAGGACUCUAGGUCUACCUGCACUCACCUCCUCUGUCUAGGACUCUAGGUCUACCUGUACUCACCUGCUCUGUCUAGGACUCUAGGUCUACCUGUACUCACCUGCUCUGUCUAGGACUCUAGGUCUACCUGUACUCACCUGCUCUGUCUAGGACUCUAGGUCUAGCUGCACUCACCUCCUCUGUCUAGGACUCUAGGUCUACCUGCACUCACCUGCUCUGUCUAGGACUCUAGGUCUACCUGCACUCACCUCCUCUGUCUAUGACUCUAGGUCUACCUGUACUCACCUGCUCUGUCUAGGACUCUAGGUCUACCUGCACUCACCUCCUCUGUCUAGGACUCUAGGUCUACCUGUACUCACCUGCUCUGUCUAGGACUCUAGGUCUAACUGCAGUCACCUGCUCUGUCUAUGACUCUAGGUCUACCUGCACUCACCUCCUCUGUCUAGGACUCUAGGUCUACCUGUACUCACCUGCUCUGUCUAGGACUCUAGGUCUACCUGCA